UCUCUGCCCAGGCUGCACCCGGAGACACAAUCCGCAGCCCCCUGGGUCUGUGCAGUCACCACCCAGUCCCCUGAGAACUUUCCCCUCCAGCACCCGGGAAAAUGGGAUUUUUGCUCCUUGUCAUUGUCGCUCUAGCAGCUUUGGAAGGUGUCCGGUCCCAGACGCUGGUGGAGUCCGGAGGGGAUGUGAAAAAGCCCGGAGACUCUCUCCGCCUCUCCUGCAAAGCCUCCGGCUUCACCUUCAGCAGCGCCUACAUGAACUGGGUCCGCCAGGCUCCCGGGAAGGGACUGGAAUGGGUCGCUGCUAUAUACCCCGGUGGGAGUACUACAUACUACCUCGACUCAGUGAAAGGGCGAUUCACCAUCUCCAGGGAUAACUCCAAGAGUGAGCUGUAUCUGCAAAUGACCAGCCUGAAGCCGGAGGACACCGCCCGCUAUUACUGUGCGAGAGACACAGUGAAACGAAACCGGCUUCAGUUUAAGGUAUGUACUUUAGGGUUAUGGGAAGACUUCAGGCCUCCAGGUUUUAGGUCCGGCUUUAGUGUUAGCUUCAAGGCUGUGAUGGAGAAGGAGGGUGGCUAUUAA